rnacentral:ncRNA from 1 species
CGCAAGGCUAAAACUCAAAGGAAUUGACGGGGGGCCCGCACAAGCGGCGGAGCAUGCGGAUUAAUUCGAUGCAACGCGAAGAACCUUACCAAGGCUUGACAUACACCGGAAACGUCCAGAGAUGGGCGCCCCCGCAAGGUCGGUGUACAGGUGGUGCAUGGUUGUCGUCAGCUCGUGUCGUGAGAUGUUGGGGGUUAAGUCCCCGCAACGAGCGCAACCCUUUGUCC